rnacentral:rRNA from 1 species
UACGAAGGUCCCAAGCGUUAAUCGGAAUUACUGGGCGUAAAGCGUGCGCAGGCGGUGAUGUAAGACAGAUGUGAAAUCCCCGGGCUCAACCUGGGAACUGCAUUUGUGACUGCAUCGCUGGAGUGCGGCAGAGGGGGAUGGAAUUCCGCGUGUAGCAGUGAAAUGCGUAGAUAUGCGGAGGAACACCGAUGGCGAAGGCAAUCCCCUGGGCCUGCACUGACGCUCAUGCACGAAAGCGUGGGGAGCAAACAGG